rnacentral:misc_RNA from 1 species
CCUCAAGCGCUCUCCCCCUUUGCCUUUGUUUAUAUGGCAAUUUGGUACAUCAUAGGACCAAACUCUUCACUGAGGCUUCUUUAGCUAAACACUAUUUCAUCAUCUGUAAACCUUCCAUCGUCAUCGAACUGACAACAAUUGCUCCAUACUCCAGUAAAGUGGAGAAACAUGGCUGCUAAAUGAUCUGAGAUCAGAGAUGCCUCAGGCUGACCAAUUCAAUAUCAAAUAUGACUGUCCCCAAUGUUGCGCCUUCUCCAUUUGCAAGACGGGUUGGGUUGAAAAUGGUAGUAAAAAGUCUUUGCCGAUCGAAAUAAUUAGGUGGCAGGGGUUCUUGGGAUGUAUUCUGAUAUCCUUGAGAUGGUGGGAUAAUAACUCGGCGAAGGCCGCCUACUUUCAUCGAUUUCACAGCAGUUUCAAUCCCUGAUAUAACCUACUAAAUUAUAUACAAAAAUAAAUUGUAGCAAUUAAUUCUACAUC